rnacentral:rRNA from 1 species
GAUGAACGCUGGCGGCGUGCUUAACACAUGCAAGUCGAACGAAGAUGCCGGAGUGCUUGCACUUUGGCAGACUGAGUGGCGGACGGGUGAGUAACGCGUGGGUAACCUGCCUUAUACAGGGGGAUAACAGUUGGAAACGACUGCUAAUACCGCAUAAGCGCACGGUAUCGCAUGAUACAGUGUGAAAAACUCCGGUGGUAUAAGAUGGACCCGCGUCUGAUUAGCUUGUUGGUGAGGUAACGGCCCACCAAGGCGACGAUCAGUAGCCGGCCUGAGAGGGUGAACGGCCACAUUGGGACUGAGACACGGCCCAAACUCCUACGGGAGGCAGCAGUGGGGAAUAUUGGCACAAUGGGGGAAACCCUGAUGCAGCGACGCGCGUGAGUGAUGAAG